rnacentral:rRNA from 1 species
UACGGAGGGUGCAAGCGUUAUCCGGAUUCACUGGGUUUAAAGGGUGCGUAGGCGGGUAUAUAAGUCAGUGGUGAAAUCCCGGAGCUUAACUCUGGAACUGCCAUUGAUACUAUAUAUCUUGAAUAUUGUGGAGGUUUGCGGAAUAUGUCAUGUAGCGGUGAAAUGCAUAGAUAUGACAUAGAACACCUAUUGCGAAGGCAGCAGGCUACACAUAUAUUGACGCUGAGGCACGAAAGCGUGGGGAU